UGAUGUCAGUCAGUCGGUAGAACCGACCCAUCCUCAUGGCCUGGAGUUCUUAUUCCGUGACUGUAGGAACGUUUCACAGGUAGGCGUGCAAAGCAGUGUCUUUCAAAGGACCAACAGGUUCAAAUAUUUUCUCACUCCUAAGAGAACCAUGUUUGUAGAAAUUUAAGGAAGGGAUACCAGCUCCCUUGCUGAUAAGGAGAUAAAGGAGACAUUUUCUGAAUUCAUUCAUGGACUCUUGAGCCUGUGACUCUCAUAACCUGCUUCUAAGGUCUUAGUGCAUAAACCAACGGUGGGAUGUGGUAAGCCUGCUGCUUCCUGCCACGUUGCUCUGUGAUAGAUGAGGAGGAGCAGUGCCUGGUCACUCUCACUUCGCAUUUUGCUAGCAGGAGAACCAAGUGAGAGAAUAACUGUACUAGAGGUAAGCUGUGGGCUGCUUAAAAAUUAUAACUCAUGGGGUUUAGUGAAUAUAGCAUCUGUCUGUACGACACCAGGCCAAAGUAAUUGUACACAGGGCACCACAUUUAUAAGUGAAGAGGAGAUAUCAGCAAGCAGAGCAGGUGCUAAAGAUGGACAGACGUCAAGUAGAACUUGGUCCUCUUAACCUAAUGCCUGCAAAAUGGUGACGGCGUUUACUGGUGUCUUGUUCAUGCUGGUCUGUGAGAACUUUGCUGGUGACCGUUUGUAUGCCAUUGCUAGUUCUUCCAGAAGGGAGGAGUAAAGGAAGCCCUUAACGAGCGGGAGCUGUUCAAUGCUGUUUCUGGCCUGAGCAUCUCAGCAGACAAUGAAGCUGACUUCUUAGCUGAGAUAGAAGCUUUGGAGAAAAUGAACGAAGAUCAUGUUCAGAAGAAUGGAAGGAAAGCAGCCUCGUUUCUGAAAGAUGAAGGAAGUCCACCCAUGCUGUAUGCAGAGUAGUCCAGCAGAGAUGGCCAGCUGCCACAGCCAGCGAGUGGGUGACCUGACAGACCAAAGCAGGAGUGGACAGCGCUGCUUCUGUGCUCCUCACUCUGACCCACGUGCCAGAUGUGUGCAAUUUUUAACUCGGCAUUGAAAGAAUAAAAUGUCACUACCUCUCAUCUUACAAAAA
rnacentral:lncRNA from 1 species